UAGAUACCCUAUUAUAAUAAGCUACCCAGGUACUAAUUAUAUAAAAUGAAACCGAUAUACUUUGGCGGCAUUUUAUCAUAUUAGAGGAACCUGUCUAUUAAUCGUAAAUCCACGAUAAUUUUCACUUUUAUUUAAAUCUUAUAUACCGCCAUCUAAAGAAUUAUUCCAAAGAAUUUUUCAAAAUAUUUGAACAUAAAAAGUUAGGUAAAGGUGUAGACUACAUAAAAGAUUAGAUGUGUUACAUUAAUAAAAAAUUCAAGGAAAAAUUAUUAAUAAAUAUUUCAGAAAAAGGAUUUAUAAGUAAAAUUUAAAUAAUAAUUAAUUUUGAAACUGAUAACAAAUGUGUACACAUCG
rnacentral:rRNA from 1 species